UGGGGGAUAUUGGACAAUGGGGGAAACCCUGAUGCAGCAAUGCCGCGUGAGUGAAGAAGUAUUUCGGUAUGUAAAGCUCUAUCAGCAGGGAAAGAAAAAAGACGGUACCUGACUAAGAAGCCCCGGCUAACUACGUGCC
rnacentral:rRNA from 1 species